rnacentral:snRNA from 1 species
GUACUUACUUCAGCAGCAUGUGUACUCAGUUGGAACAAUAUGCAGAGAUUAGCAUGGCAUCUGUGUAAAGAUGCCAUGCAAAUCCUUUUAUGCUUCAGAUUUUA